rnacentral:ncRNA from 10 species
CACGUUCAUCCCUACAGGGACGGAAGUAAGCCAUAGUGCUGAAGGAACGCAAU